rnacentral:rRNA from 1 species
CAGCACCUCAAGUGGUCAGGAUGAUUAUUGGGCCUAAGGCAUCCGUAGCCGGCGCUGUAAGUUUUCGGUUAAAUCUGUACGCUCAACGUACAGGCUGCCGGGAAUACUGCAGCGCUAGGGAGUGGGAGAGGUAGACGGUACUCGGUAGGAAGGGGUAAAAUCCUUUGAUCUAUUGAUGACCACCCGUGGCGAAGGCGGUCUACCAGAACACGUCCGACGGUGAGGGAUGAAAGCUGGGGGAGCAAACCGGAUUAGAUACCCGAGUAGUCC